rnacentral:rRNA from 1 species
GACAAGGCCGAGCAAGCAGCAGCAUGAAAACCGAGGGUGCAAGGGUUUAGCGGAAAUACGUGGCGUAAAGCGUGGGGAGGCGGCUGAUUAAGUCAGAUGUGAAAUCCCUAGGCUCAACCUAGGAACUGCAGUUGAAACUAAUAAACUAGAGUAUCGUAGAGGGAGGUAGAAUUCCAGGUGUAGCGGUGAAAUGCGUAGAUAUCUGGAGGAAUACCAGUGGCGAAGGCGACCUCCUGGACGAAAACUGACGCUCAAGCACGAAAGCAUGGGGAGCAAACAGGAUUAGAUACCCCGGUAGUC